rnacentral:misc_RNA from 1 species
GAUGAAGAACGUAGCGAAAUGCGAUACUUGGUGUGAAUUGCAGAAUCCCGUGAACCAUCGAGUCUUUGAACGCAAGUUGCGCCCGAAGCCAUUUGGUUGAGGGCACGUCUGCCUGGGCGUCACACACCGUUACCCUCGCGCCAACGUCCAUCGUUGGCCGCGGCGCGGGGCGUGCGCUGACCUCCCGCGAGCGGGGUCUCGUGGUUGGUUGAAAAUCGAGUUCGCGGUCGAGGGUGCCGUGAUGAAAUGGUGGAUGGGCGACGCCCGAGGCCAAUCACGCGCGACUCUGUCCGGCUCGGACUCCUGGACCCCUUCGGCGUCUCCGGACGCUCUUUGGCGAGACCUCAGGUCAGGCGGGGCUACCCGCUGAGUUUAAGCAUAUCAAUAAGCGGAGGA